AACCGUGUAGCUCAGUUGGUAGAGCAUCGUUCUGGUAAUUCGAAGGUCGCGGGUUCAAGACCCAGCCGCAGCGG
rnacentral:tRNA from 1 species